rnacentral:rRNA from 1 species
CCUACGGGAGGCAGCAGUGGGGAAUAUUGCACAAUGGGGGAAACCCUGAUGCAGCGACGCCGCGUGGAGGAAGAAGGUCUUCGGAUUGUAAACUCCUGUUGUUGAGGAAGAUAAUGACGGUACUCAACAAGGAAGUGACGGCUAACUACGUGCCAGCAGCCGCGGUAAAACGUAGGUCACAAGCGUUGUCCGGAUUUAUUGGGUUUAAAGGGAGCGCAGACGGGAGAUUAAGUCAGUUGUGAAAGUUUGCGGCUCAACCGUAAAAUUGCAGUUGAUACUGGUUUCCUUGAGUGCAGUUGAGGCAGGCGGAAUUCGUGGUGUAGCGGUGAAAUGCUUAGAUAUCACGAAGAACCCCGAUUGCGAAGGCAGCCUGCUAAGCUGCAACUGACAUUGAGGCUCGAAAGUGUGGGUAUCAAACAGGAUU